GAUGAAGAACGCAGCGAAAUGCGAUAAGUAGUGUGAAUUGCAGAAUUCAGUGAAUCAUCGAAUCUUUGAACGCACAUUGCGCCCUUUGGUAUACCAAAGGGCAUGCCUGUUCGAGCGUCAUUUGUACCCUCAAGCUUUGCUUGGUGUUGGGCGUCUUGUCUCUAGCUUUGCUGGAGACUCGCCUUAAAGUAAUUGGCAGCCGGCCUACUGGUUUCGGAGCGCAGCACAAGUCGCACUCUCUAUCAGCAAAGGUCUAGCAUCCAUUAAGCCUUUUUUUCAACUUUUGACCUCGGAUCAGGUAGGGAUACCCGCUGAACUUAAGCAUAUCAAUAAGCGGAGGA
rnacentral:misc_RNA from 1 species